rnacentral:rRNA from 1 species
CGUAGGUGGCGUAGCGUUGUCCGGAAGUUACUGGGUGUAAAGGGCGUGUAGGCGGGAAGACAAGUCAGAUGUGAAAUACCGUGGCUUAACCACGGGGCUGCAUCUGAAACUGUUUUUCUUGAGUGUCGGAGAGGAAAGUGGAAUUCCCAGUGUAGCGGUGAAAUGCGUAGAUAUUGGGAGGAACACCAGUGGCGAAGGCGACUUUCUGGACGAUAACUGACGCUGAGGCGCGAAAGCGUGGGGAGCAAACAGGAUUAGAUACCCUGGUAGUCCACGCUGUAAACGAUGGAUACUAGGUGUGGGAGGUAUCGACCCCUUCCGUGCCGCAGUUAACACAAUAAGUAUCCCACCUGGGGAGUACGGCCGCAAGGUUG